rnacentral:lncRNA from 1 species
GCUACGGGGUGUCCAGUAGAGGACGGGUGAAGGCUACGGGGUGUCUAGUCGAGGACGGGUGAAGGCUACGGGGUGUCUAGUAGAGGACGUGGUGAAGGCUACGGGGUGUCUAGUAGAGGACGUGGUGAAGGCUACGGGGUGUCUAGUCGAGGACGGGUGAAGGCUACGGGGUGUCUAGUCGAGGACGGGUGAAGGCUACGGGGUGUCUAGUAGAGGACGUGGUGAAGGCUACGGGGUGUCUAGUCGAGGACGGGUGAAGUCUAAAGGGUGUCUAGUCGAGGACGGGUGAAGUCUAAAGGGUGUCUAGUCGAGGACGGGUGAAGUCUACGGGGUGUCCAGUAGAGGACGGGUGAAGGCUACGGGGUGUCUAGUCGAGGACGGGUGAAAUCUACGGGGUGUCUAGUAGAGGACGGGUGAAGUCUACGGGGUGUCCAGUAGAGGACGGGUGAAGGCUACGGGGUGUCCAGUCGAGGACGGGUGAAGGCUACGGGGUGUCUAGUAGAGGACGUUGUGAAGUCUACGGGGUGUCUAGUCGAGGACGGGUGAAGGCUACGGGGUGUCUAGUCGAGGACGUUGUGAAGGCUACGGGGUGUCCAGUCGAGGACGGGUGAAGGCUACGGGGUGUCUAGUAGAGGACGGGUGAAGGCUACGGGGUGUCUAGUCGAGGACGGGUGAAGGCUACGGGGUGUCUAGUAGAGGACGUGGUGAAGGCUACGGGGUGUCUAGUAGAGGACGUGGUGAAGGCUACGGGGUGUCUAGUCGAGGACGUUGUGAAGUCUACGGGGUGUCUAGUAGAGGACGUGGUGAAGGCUACGGGGUGUCCAGUCGAGGACGUUGUGAAGUCUACGGGGUGUCCAGUAGAGGACGGGUGAAGGCUACGGGGUGUCCAGUCGAGGACGGGUGAAGGCUACGGGGUGUCUAGUCGAGGACGUUGUGAAGUCUACGGGGUGUCCAGUAGAGGACGGGUGAAGGCUACGGGGUGUCUAGUCGAGGACGUUGUGAAGUCUACGGGGUGUCUAGUAGAGGACGGGUGAAGGCUACGGGGUGUCUAGUAGAGGACGGGUGAAGG